CCUACGGGUGGCUGCAGUGAGGAAUAUUGGUCAAUGGCCGGAAGGCUGAACCAGCCACGCCGCGUGAAGGACGAAGGUGCCAAGCAUUGUAAACUUCUUUUGUCAAGGGACAAAAUCAGGCUCGAGAGCCUGACCGAGGGGACUUGAAGAAAAAGCAUCGGUUAACUCCGUGCCAGCAGCCGCGGUAAUACGGAGGAUGCGAGCGUUAUCGGGAUUUAGUGGGUUUAAAGGGUGCGUAGGCGGAAUGCCAAGUCAGCGGUAAAAUCGCGGGGCUAAACCUCGCUCCGCCGUUGAAACUGGAGUUCUUGAGUGCGGGAGAGGUAUGCGGAAUGCGUGGUGUAGCGGUGAAAUGCAUAGAUAUCACGCAGAACUCCGAUUGCGAAGGCAGCAUACCGGAGCGCAACUGACGCUGAGGCACGAAAGCGUGGGUAUCGAACAGGAUUAGAUACCCCUGUAGUC
rnacentral:rRNA from 1 species